AGACCAACAGGGAUUGCCCUAGUAACGGCGAGUGAAGCGGCAACAGCUCAAAUUUGAAAUCUGGCUCUAGGGCCCGAGUUGUAAUUUGCAGAGGAUGAUUUUGGCGCGGUGCCUUCCGAGUUCCCUGGAACGGGACGCCUUAGAGGGUGAGAGCCCCGUACGGUUGGACACCAAGCCUCUGUAAAUCUCCUUCGACGAGUCGAGUAGUUUGGGAAUGCUGCUCUAAAUGGGAGGUAAAUUUCUUCUAAAGCUAAAUACCGGCCAGAGACCGAUAGCGCACAAGUAGAGUGAUCGAAAGAUGAAAAGCACUUUGAAAAGAGGGUUAAAUAGCACGUGAAAUUGUUGAAAGGGAAGCAUUUACUACCAGACCUUCUCCCUGCGGAUCAUGCGGUGUUUUCACCGCUGCACUUCGCUUGGUUUAGGCUAGCAUCGGUUUUCGUAGGGGGAUAAAAGCAUUAGGAACGUAGCUCCCUCGGGAGUGUUAUAGCCUUUUGCAUAAUACCCUUAUGGGGACCGAGGACCGCGCUUUUGCAAGGAUGCUGGCAUAAUGGUAGUCAAUGACCCGUCUUGAAACACGGACCAAGGAGUCGAACAUUUGUGCGAGUGUUUGGGUGUUAAACCCUCACGCGUAAUGAAAGUGAACGUAGGUGAGAGCCCUUACGGGUGCAUCAUCGACCGAUCUUGAUGUCUUCGGAUGGAUUUGAGUAAGAGCAUAACUGUUCGGACCCGAAAGAUGGUGAACUAUGCGUGGAUAGGGUGAAGCCAGAGGAAACUCUGGUGGAGGCUCGCAGCGGUUCUGACGUGCAAAUCGAUCGUCAAAUCUGCGCAUGGGGGCGAAAGACUUAUCGAACCAUUAAACCAGCGGUAAAAAUAUUUACUAGGUGGUUAAGAGGCCCUCUGUAAAGAGAAAAAGGCCUAGGUGACCUACCCUUGGAAGAUGCUACCCUGCACUUCUGGGUGGGCUAUCGACAUCGCUAAUUGCGGAACAUCCUACUGUAAAGCUAGGGGUUACCGCCGCCUGCUGAAAGCCCGGCGGCACUGAGAGUAGCGCUCUCAGGUGUGGUAAAAA
rnacentral:rRNA from 1 species